GGACACACUGGGACUCUUCUACUUUAUAGCGGGUAUUGUAUUCCGGCUCCACUCAUCUAAUAGAAGCUCUCUAUACUCCGGGAGAGUCAUUUUCUGUCUGGAUUACAUCAUCUUCACUCUAAGGCUUAUCCACAUUUUCACCGUGAGCAGGAACUUAGGACCCAAGAUCAUUAUGCUGCAGCGAAUGGU
rnacentral:lncRNA from 1 species